CCAUUAGACAUUAUCAAACCUAGACCUAGAGAAUAAGGGGAGAUUUGACCAUACACAAGAGACCCCUGGAAAGUGAAACAAAAAUCAAAGGUUCCUCUCUAAAAGAAGCUUCAUUUUCCUCGAUCCAUGCUCUUGACCUCUCGCUCAAAAAUCAGAGGAUGCACAUUGUCAAGUGGCUCGAUUUCAAUUUCAAAGUUGUUUGGAUAGAAGUUUCGUCCACCCGCUCUCUCGCUAAAAGCUGAAAAACAGAAAGGAAACUUGGAAUUUCAAGAGGAAGUAUGAUGAAAAAACUGAUUUCAAAGCUCAAACUCUUUUUUAUAUAAGCUAUAGAAGUUCAGCUUUAUGAUUGUUGCUGCUGCUCCUGCUGAAAAUAUUCUGCUGGGCUUCACUUUGAAAUAUUUUCAACCUUUUGCCUCAUCUUCAUGAAAUUUGUUUCCAUUUUCGCUACUAGGUAUGUCAAGACCUUUCUGUAAUUCUUUUCAACUAGGCAAAUGAAAUUUGAACUAUUUAUGUUGUUUGGUUUGUAUGCUUAUUGUAUUUACCUUGUUAUGUAUGUUUAUGUCCGCUUGUCUUUUAAAGAUCGAAUGAGAUUGUUUACAUUUUGGCUGCCUGGAAUUAUCGUGACUCUGUUUUCUCCGUUGCUAAGAAUGCUUAGUUGAAUUUGAGGCAGCAUAUAUGAGUUUGGUUUAUUUCAAGUUGUCAGGUUAGAAUUGGAGUAUUUCAAAGCAGCUAUUUUUCUUUCCCUUUUUCACGAUGUUGAGAUUUUGAGCACAAAGCAGUGAUGUUUAUUAUUGAACUGCCGUGAUGUUAUUUGGAAUGUUAAUCUUUGGUUGAAUGGGUUGGAAAUUUGCAAUUUGGGUGAAGCUCAACAACGCAUGAGUCAGUGGUGUCAUUGUAGUAUCGAUUAGAGAAUUACAACUUCUAAUUAGAGUUCCUUUAACAAGUGUAUGCUAAGCCAACCUCUUCAUUGAUAAGUUCCUGAUUAAGAAUUAAUUGUAAAAAGAUCCUAGCUGGUUACUUAUUCUUGAUCAUAUGCUUGGAAUUCUUUAAGAUGGUAAUGAUACCUUUGAGAAAUGUCACGAGAAUAUAAAGUAUAUGUGUUCAGAUGUUUUAUUUAUUUCAGUGGCAAAAGGAGCGACGUUCGUUUUGGUCUUGGAUGCUGGAAAACCAACCUAUAUUACAUUAUUAUUGUUGUAGAUUUCAGAAAAACAACAAUCUCAAAUUAUUAACAUCGUGGUUUGCUUUAGUUGAAUAUAAUUUUUUUUGAAAUAAUUUGAGGCGUGUCAUGCUAAAUAAAAUCUCAAAAUGCACGGCCCUUGCUUGAUUAAUAUUUAAAUCCUUAGAAAUUAAGGUGUGUCAUUUAGUUAAAUUUUCCAUGGCCCUCGCAAAGUUGAAAGUGCGUAGUUGUUUUAGGCGCGCUAUUUUUUAAUAUUACUUUCCUAAACUCGGGUGUGCAUUUCGUGUGACCCAACUCUGCAUCUCACAACGUUAAAUAAAAUGUGUUUUGGAUUGCGGGUGUAUUUCAUAUGACGCGAUCCAAAGACAUAUUUUAAACGACGUUAAAUCUUCUUUAAACUUAAUUAAAAGCGGUUAAUAGAUAAAAUUAUACCAUAGGCUAAAACAUAUAUUAAAAUCAGAUAAUAGGUCAAUUAUUGUAGUUUAAGCGACCGUGCUAGAACCACGGAAUCCGGAGGUGCCUAACACCUUCCUUCGGGUUAACAAAAUUUCUUAUUCAAAAUUUUUGGUUCGCAGACUUCAAAAGGAAAAUCGAAAUCUUCAUCGAUUUGGGAUUUAAAAUAAAUCGGUGACUUGGGACAUCAGAAAUCUAAACAAAAUAACUAAAUAAUCACAUUUUGAAUAAUGUCACUUAAAUUGCAAAAACUUCCUUAUAUCACCUUCGGGCGGAUGUGUAUAAAAGGAGGUGUGACAGCUCUGCCGAUUUGCUGGGAAAUCGAACCUAGAAUAUCUGGUUCAGGGUUCAAGAAUUCGAGCUUAGAAUAGGUGUUAUGAUUGGCUUUAUCUGUUAUCUGAUUUUCCUACAUGUUUGAGCCAAAUGUGCUAAAUGCUUUUACCGCUUUGAUAUUUUGGUGAAUUGUAUAUAUAAGCUGCUACGAAACCCUUCCUCUCUCUGAGUCUUCUACAUCAUGGAGAAUGGUGAACUUUGUGUGACUUCUCUUCUGUUUAGAGUCUUAUCCCAUUUUAGAACGAGGUUCGGACAAGUUUCUAAGCCAGCGAAGCUUCUGUAUUCCCGGCACGUUACCUCCCUCGGCUCGAGUUGUCCGCUCGGGUAAGCCAGGUCUAGAACAAAAAAUCCAGGUUCUAAACCUAGUAUAACAAGCCUCAUGCUGGAUUCCUAGUAGGAAUGUUUGUUUGCAUCACGUGCAUUUGACUUAAUGGACUCAACAAAGGGGUUGGGUUCGUCUAGGAUAGAUGUACCAAAAUUGAAAAGACCAUCUUGAUGCAUCCUACUUGCUACUUGUACAUUUAUUUGCUUCGGAUUUGCAUGUUGACCAGCUUGUAAAUAAUGGGAGAGAGUUGAAAAAAAAAUAGCAAUGUUAGGGUAAAUGAGGGUAAUCACCUGUUUUGAAAAACCAAUACUAAAAUCGUAUAGAAACUCUGUCGAAUUUUUGAGAAAAUGAAAUAAAAAGACAGGUUUUCAAAAAUAGUUGGGUUGUCUAAUCUACCAGAACUACGCGGGUCUAAUUCUCACCAGAUGUGAGAUACGUAAGCAAACCUCAUCGGUUCCGGCCCCCAAUUUUUAAAUAAUCCAAAAAUAUUUUUAUUUACUUCUUUUAAUAAAAAAGGGUCUUUCUUUAUGACCCAUAUUUUUUUAAAAAAACCAAAAUAAAAAUCCAAAAAUAUUUUCAUUUACUUCUUUAGAAAAGUUUUUUUAAAGACCCCAUUUUCAAAAAUAAAAAAACUUUCUUUUACUUCCUUAUUUAGGAAAGUUUUUAUUUGAUACCCCAAUUUUUUAAAAAAUACAAAAAAGUAUUUUCUUUUAGUUGCUUCUCAAAAUAAAAAAAUACAAAAUAUUUUCAUUCUUCUUUCGAAAAUUCAAAGGAAAAAUCAAGAUUCAAAAAUAUCUUCUCUUUAAAAAAUUCAAAAAAAAAAAUAUCCAAAAAAAAUAUUUUUCUUUCUUCUUUAGAAGUUUUUCUUUCAAAAUUUUGAAAAAUAUAUUUAAAAAUUCAAAAAUAUUUUUAUUCUUCUUUCGAAAAUUAAAAAGAAAAUUCAAGAUUUAGAAAUACUUUCUUUUUUUCUUUAGAAGUACUUCUUUCUUAAAUUCAUAGUAAAAAUCUAUAAAUACAAAAGUAUUUUUCUUAUUUCUUUCGACGUUUUUCUUUUGAAAUUCCAAAUAAAUAAAAUAAGCAAUAAAAGUUGACAAAAAAGAAAAAAGAAUCUUUCUUCUUUAGAAGUCUUUCUUUGCAAAAGUGCUGGAGAAAAAUUAAAAUCUAAAAAUAUUCUCUUCCUUCUUUAUAAGUCUUUCUUUUGAAAAAAAAAAAGUAAGAAAAUAGAGAAAAUUUAAAAUCUAGAAAAACAUAAAUUUAGUUUAUUUCCUCUAUUCCUCAUCUUUCCGAACUACACAAGAUUUGAUUCAUGCGGCGUCAUGAUACAUAGGUAACCCACAUCAGGUUCAAUAAACCAUGGAAAAGGAAAAUGAGAAAAAUAAAAAAAUGAAAAAAAGAGAAGAAAAGAAAACAAGAGUGAAAAAAUGUUGAUAAUAAUAAGGUCUGACCGUGUCCGUUCUAACAUAUCUUUUAUUUUGAAUUGUGAAGAAAGUUGAGCUGGUCGGUUUGUGGUAACUAGACAACACAAGAUCCAAGGAAAAAUGAUGACUG
rnacentral:lncRNA from 1 species